CAAGAAGAAUAGCACCCUCGCUCUACAGAGUCUGAACCAGAACGACACUCGGUGCUGUCCUCUUCCCAUGGACUGCAGGAAAAAAUGAAGAAG
rnacentral:lncRNA from 1 species